rnacentral:rRNA from 1 species
AUGGACCACAGGAUAGUAGCUCCAAGUCUAGAUGGUCGAAGAGGUGGUCUCUUGUUAGUCUGGAAGAAGGAGGUGAGGAUCUACUCCCAGACAACUACAUUAGACUAUAUUGAUGUGUCAGUUGAAGAAUCGAAUGGGGACACUUGGAGACUAACUUGUUUAUACGGAGAACCUUGUUGGAAUAACAAGGACCAUACCUAUAAUAAUUUACGUGAAUUGCAUUCACAAAAUCUAUCGUGGACAGUAAUAGGGGACUUCAAUGAGAUUCUCUACUCUUCUAAAAAAGAAGGGGGAGCCCCUCGGCAUCAGUCAAGAAUGCAAGCUUUUCAGGAUGCUUUAUCAGACUGCUCCCUAGAAGAUAUUGGUUAUGAAGGAGAUAAGUUUACUUGGUUUCGAGGAGGAUUAAGAGAAAGACUAGACAGGGCGGUGUCUAACCAGUCAUGGGCGCAAAUGCAUCCUUGGGCAGGAUUGAUAAACCUGGAGAUGGGAAAAUCUGACCAUCGGCCUAUUUGUCUAGACACAAACCAUCUCUGUGAUGUAGCUGAUCGCCAGAGGAAGGAAAGAAGAUUUGAGGCACGUUGGUUAGCAGAAGAUUCAGUGGAUGAAAUCGUCCGAACUGCAUGGCAAAAAGCAGUACACAAUGGCGUGUGUCCGAGCAUACGAGACAAGCUUGAGUCUGUCCAUAAUGAUCUGCAUGAGUGGGAUCGGACGGUACUCAAAAGUUCACAAUCGAGGUUGAGGAAAGUUCAAAAAGAACUAGAGAAGCUCAUGCGAGCUCCUAUGAACGAUGAAGUUAAGGCGAGGCAGAAGGAACUUACAGUUCUUAUAGAAAACAUACUGGAGCAAGACGAGAUAUAUUGGGCCCAACGGGGCAGGGUGACUUGGUUGUGA